rnacentral:rRNA from 1 species
AACGAACGCUGGCGGCAUGCCUAACACAUGCAAGUCGAACGAGACCUUCGGGUCUAGUGGCGCACGGGUGCGUAACGCGUGGGAACCUGCCCUUAGGUUCGGAAUAACUCCCCGAAAGGGGUGAUAAUACCGGAUAAUGUCUUCGGACCAAAGAUUUAUCGCCUUUGGAUGGGCCCGCGUUGGAUUAGCUAGUUGGUAGGGUAAAAGCCUACCAAGGCGACGAUCCAUAGCUGGUUUGAGAGGAUGAUCAGCCACACUGGGACUGAGACACGGCCCAGACUCCUACGGGAGGCAGCAGUGGGGAAUAUUGGACAAUGGGCGAAAGCCUGAUCCAGCAAUGCCGCGUGAGUGAUGAAGGCCUUAGGGUUGUAAAGCUCUUUUACCCGUGAUGAUAAUGACAGUACCGGGAGAAUAAGCUCCGGCUAACUCCGUG